CCUACGGGAGGCAGCAGUGGGGAAUAUUGCACAAUGGGGGGAACCCUGAUGCAGCGACGCCGCGUGAGUGAAGAAGGAUCUCGGGACGUAAAGCUCUAUCAGCAGGGAAGAAAAUGACGGUACCUGACUAAGAAGCCCCGGCUAACUACGUGCCAGCAGCCGCGGUAAUACGUAGGGGGCAAGCGUUAUCCGGAUUUACUGGGUGUAAAGGGAGCGGAGACGGCACUGCAAGUCCGGAGUGAAAGCCCAAGGCUUAACCAUGGGACUGCUCUGGAAACUGUGGAGCUUGAUUGCGGGAGGGGCAGGCGGACUUCCUAGUGUAGCUGUGAAAUGCGUAGAUAUUCGGUGGAACCCCGGCGGCGACGGCGGCCUGCUGGACCGUACCUGACGUUGAGGCUCG
rnacentral:rRNA from 1 species